rnacentral:lncRNA from 1 species
GCGGCGUGGCCUCUGCUCAGUGCCUGUGUGUGGGGAAGCGGAGGGUACAGCACAGUCCAGCUGCCCAGUGCCUCCUCCCGAGGCUCCACUCGCCACACCUGGGGACUUGGCACCUGCUCGUCUGGCUCCUCCUGUCUCUGCGUUUCCAGGGACUUGUGCGAUCCUUGUUUCUCUCACCUGUUAAGCUGCGACUUCUCCCUGCCUCCUUCUCUCCCCAGGCUCUGGGAUGAUGCUGGGGAGGAAAAUACAGCCCCUCUGAGUGGACACGGCACGUGGGCUUUCACCAGCAGACGCCCAGCGUGGUCCCCAGCACAUCAGUUCGGCUCUCCCCAGACUCUAAGGGGUUAAAACACGCAUAUCAACAGCAGACCAUUUAUUUCUGAGUCAUCAACACCCGGCCUGAUGCAGGCUCUCUUCUGUGGAAGACGGACAGGAUGCCGAGAGAAAGGUUACCUGCCGUGGACUUUCAUCCCAUUGAGGCUGAGGUGGUUUGAUAGCAGAUCUCCGCAGAAAGAGAAAACUGCUGCGUUUUCUCUCAGGCCCACCUCCCCUAAAUCCGUCUGUUCCUCCAGUUGACAGAAAUCUCAAGCACAUCCCAGAGUUUCACAACUUUCUAUCCACGCCUGGGGUUCAGGUGGCUGUGCCCCUGUCCACGGCCCUCAGAGCCUGCCACUCUCCAUAUCCUUGCCUGACCCCUCACAGGGGUUCGGGUGGCUGCGCUGCUGUCCACAGCUCUCGGAGCCUGCCACUCUCCAUGUGAAGUCCUUCAGGAGGAGGCGGCCAGGACAGGGAUUCACCCCCUGCCAGUCCCAGACCACCGAUGUACAGCCUAUAAUUUAUCAUAAAAGGUUACCAGGUUGUGUUAUCCCACUCUGUUAUUAAUCAGAGUGCCUUGGCAGGUUAGAUUUCGUGACCUAUAAAUAUUCAUUACAUUUGGACUGCUUCGUAAACAGCAACAUUUCCUUCAUUUUUAGAGAAAAUUUUCUUCCUUCUUGCCUUCUUGUCAGUCGUGGCUGUGGCAUAAAGUAAGUUGACGUCAUAUUAAGAAAUACAGGUCAUCUUCUCAGUGGCAGGUUGUGUCUCUUUGGUGAUGAGGCGCCCGUGUGAAUUCAUGGCACUGGGCGUUAGCAAUGGCAGAUAUCUCUGGUGGGAGAUAUUCCCACCAGAGGCGCUUUAGUCCUCUUUAUGAAAAUGUCCUUCUUAAAAUCAGGUACUAUUUCAAGCAUUCCAAAAGUAAGAGAGCCUAACAACUACCCAUUUGCUCACCGUUAUUAUCAAACCCUGACAUUAGAGAUGAAAUGGACCCCUGCGUGCCGCUCUGUGAUCCUAGCCCUCUCUAUCCCCCUUAGAAUCACUCAGUGGUCAUC